GCCGAGAGCAACGUUCCAUGUUGGAUCCACAUGGCCGAAAUGAUUUGAAACUUUGCAGCAAAGAGACUUCACGUUACUUGAUUCAGUGUCAUCACUAGCACCAUGGAGGUUUACAGCUCUAAAGUCAAUGACAACUAUAGGUUUUUGUUUAUCUGUAGUUGUUGUGGUGAUGGUGAUGUUUGGUUUUGCUUGUGUUUUCCUUAAUAAAUGUGAAUCGUGGUUUAUG